GUUUUGAAGAAAAAAACCAAACAAAACCAGGAGCUACAGUUCUACCCAUAUCCAAGAGAAGAUGGUAACUCUACCAUAGAAGAUGUGAGGUAAGAUGGACAGCAGAUGACCCUGGAAGAGAUGGAAUCUAGAAGUUGGUUACAGAGAUAAGCUCAAUGACUAUCAGCUCAGCAACAUUUGUGAAUAGAAAGAUGCCUCUCCCAACAAGACUUAUAGACAUGGAGGGAAACCACAAGUUUUGGCACUGGCUUAAAUACAGCAAAAAACAAAAGAGGAGAGGCUGCUUUUCGGUAGCAAAUGUGUAGCAACAUGGACAGCAGAUGACCUUGAAGAAAGAGAUGAAGAACAGAAGCUGGGUACAGAGAGUUGCUCAGUGACUGAGAGAUCCUGGGCAUUUCCUGAGUGCAGAGCGAAGAUGUGAUGCUGCCCUGCUGAGAGAGAAUGUCACCAGAGGUGAUCCUAAAGAUUCAUAAGUGUUCCCUGCACACAUCUCCUCAACGAAUGUGCUCUGGUCACGAAGAACACUCUACGUUUUCGCCUUUGGUUUUGCCAAAUAGUCAUGUUCCUUGAAGCCUCCUCUCACUAGUGAAUCUUCCAGUGCAAGAAAGGAAGGCAAACAACAGGGUUGUUUGCAGAAGGAAUUUUGGCUACCAUCAUACCCAUAGGAUUACUUAGUGGAGACCUGAGAUAUGAUCCCUGACAAAGUGAUGACAUCACGAAGUCCUGCCACACCAGAGUUAUGUUGCCUUAGGCAUAUGUGUGUCCAUGUUACAUUUAUUUCUUCACAUGUAACCUAGCCACACGUAUUCCUGGAGUAUACCCAUUCCUCCAUAUUUCCUAGCUACAAGUGAUUCCUGUAUGUAUGCUCUCCCUUGGUUAAUGAGUUCUCACAUAAUAAUUUUUGCAUAUGCCUUUUCCUACUUACAGCUUGUUAAACUGUAGGAAAAAAAAUAUGCCUUUCACAUUUUAGGGUGUGGAAAUAAUUUUUCUUGUUAUUUUACUUUCAUUUUUAUUGACUAAAUGUCUUUUGUCUGAACCCAUGUGUUCUUUGGUUGCCUGAAAAACAAACCUACCAAUGGCAGCUUCUGUGCUACCUUUUUCAAUGGAUGCUGACCCAUAGAGUACUUUAAGCCUGGCAUAGGUUUUCACGACUCACAACAGGACGAGAGUCUCCCUGAGGAUACAUAAAUGGAAAGGAAUCCAAA